rnacentral:tRNA from 2 species
CGUCCCGUGGCCCAACUGGAAGAGGCAUCUGACUUAAGAUCAGAGGGUUCUGGGUUCGACUCCCAGCGGGACGA